rnacentral:rRNA from 1 species
UACAGAGGGUGCAAGCGUUGUUCGGAAUCAUUGGGCGUAAAGGGCGUGUAGGCGGUUUGUUAAGUCAUGUGUGAAAUCCCCGGGCUUAACCUGGGAACUGCGCUUGUAACUGAUAGGCUUGAGUGUGGCAGAGGGGGGUGGAAUUCCAGGUGUAGCAGUGAAAUGCGUAGAUAUCUGGAGGAACACCGAUGGCGAAGGCAGCCCCCUGGGCUAACACUGACGCUCAUGCACGAAAGCGUGGGGAGCAAACAGG